UGCAGUCGAGCGGAACGAUGGAAGCUUGCUUCCAGGCGUCGAGCGGCGGACGGGUGAGUAAUGCAUGGGAAUCUGCCCGAUAGCGGGGGAUAACCUGGGGAAACUCAGGCUAAUACCGCAUACGUCCUACGGGAGAAAGCAGGGGAUCUUCGGACCUUGCGCUAUCGGAUGAGCCCAUGUCGGAUUAGCUUGUUGGUGAGGUAAUGGCUCACCAAGGCGACGAUCCGUAGCUGGUCUGAGAGGAUGAUCAGCCACAUCGGGACUGAGACACGGCCCGAACUCCUACGGGAGGCAGCAGUGGGGAAUAUUGGACAAUGGGCGAAAGCCUGAUCCAGCCAUGCCGCGUGUGUGAAGAAGGCCUUCGGGUUGUAAAGCACUUUCAGUGGGGAAGAAAGCCUUGGGAUUAAUACUCCCGAGGAAGGACAUCACCCACAGAAGAAGCACCGGCUAACUCCGUGCCAGCAGCCGCGGUAAUACGGAGGGUGCGAGCGUUAAUCGGAAUUACUGGGCGUAAAGCGCGCGUAGGCGGUUUGAUCAGCCGG
rnacentral:rRNA from 1 species